rnacentral:sRNA from 1 species
AGCAACACGAUGGGACGAUAGCCCGCGG